GCUGCCGACGACAUUGUGAGAAGUCCACUGAACCUUAUCAUUUAGAGGAAGGAGAAGUCGUAACAAGGUUUCCGUAGGUGAACCUGCGGAAGGAUCAUUG
rnacentral:rRNA from 1 species